AGAGUUUGAUCCUGGCUCAGGAUGAACGCUGGCGGUCUGCUUAACACAUGCAAGUCGAACGCAACCUUUCGGGGUUGAGUGGCGGACGGGUGAGUAACGCGUGAGAAUCUGCCUUUAGGUCCGGGACAACCACUGGAAACGGUGGCUAAUACCGGAUGUGCCGCAACGUGAAAGGGGAAACCCGCCUGAAGAUGAGCUCGCGUCUGAUUAGCUAGUUGGUGAGGUAAAGGCUCACCAAGGCGACGAUCAGUAGCUGGUCUGAGAGGAUGACCAGCCACACUGGGACUGAGACACGGCCCAGACUCCUACGGGAGGCAGCAGUGGGGAAUUUUCCGCAAUGGGCGAAAGCCUGACGGAGCAAGACCGCGUGAGGGAAGAAGGCUCUUGGGUCGUAAACCUCUUUUGUCAGGGAAGAACACAAUGACGGUACCUGACGAAUCAGCCUCGGCUAACUCCGUGCCAGCAACCGCGGUAAUACGGAGGAGGCAAGCGUUAUCCGGAAUUAUUGGGCGUAAAGCGUCCGUAGGUGGCUAGUCAAGUCUGCUGUCAAAGGUUGGGGCUUAACCCCAAAAAGGCAGUGGAAACUGAGAAGCUAGAGUGCAGUAGGGGUAGAGGGAAUUCCCGGUGUAGCGGUGAAAUGCGUAGAGAUCGGGAAGAACAUCGGUGGCGAAAGCGCUCUACUGGACUGCAACUGACACUCAGGGACGAAAGCUAGGGGAGCGAAUGGGAUUAGAUACCCCCGUAGUCC
rnacentral:rRNA from 1 species